rnacentral:rRNA from 1 species
CCCUAGUAACGGCGAGUGAAGCGGCAACAGCUCAAAUUUGAAAGCUAGCCUUCGGGUUCGCAUUGUAAUUUGUAGAGGAUGAUUUGGGGAAGCCGCCUGUCUAAGUUCCUUGGAACAGGACGUCAUAGAGGGUGAGAAUCCCGUAUGUGACAGGAAAUGGCACCCUAUGUAAAUCUCCUUCGACGAGUCGAGUUGUUUGGGAAUGCAGCUCUAAAUGGGAGGUAAAUUUCUUCUAAAGCUAAAUAUUGGCGAGAGACCGAUAGCGCACAAGUAGAGUGAUCGAAAGAUGAAAAGCACUUUGGAAAGAGAGUUAAAAAGCACGUGAAAUUGUUGAAAGGGAAGCGCUUGCAAUCAGACUUGUUUAAACUGUUCGGCCGGUCUUCUGACCGGUUUACUCAGUUUGGACAGGCCAGCAUCAGUUUCGGCGGCCGGAUAAAGGCUCUGGGAAUGUGGCCUCCACUUCGGUGGAGGUGUUAUAGCCCAGGGUGUAAUACGGCCAGCCGGGACUGAGGUCCGCGCUUCGGCUAGGAUGCUGGCGUAAUGGUUGUAAGCGACCCGUCUUGAAACACGGACCAAGGAGUCUAACAUCUAUGCGAGUGUUCGGGUGUCAAACCCCUGCGCGUAAUGAAAGUGAAC